rnacentral:rRNA from 1 species
AGAGUUUGAUCCUGGCUCAGGAUGAACGCUAGCGGCAGGCCUAACACAUGCAAGUCGAGGGGCAGCGGGGAAAAGCUUGCUUUUCCGCCGGCGACCGGCGCACGGGUGCGCACCGCGUAUGGAACCUGCCUUGUACAGGGGAAUAGCCCAGGGAAACUUGGAUUAAUGCCCCGUAGUACCGUAUUUCGGCAUCGUUAUACGGUUAAAGCCUUCGGGCGGUACAAGAUGGCCAUGCGUCCCAUUAGCUGGAUGGUAAGGUAACGGCUUACCAUGGCUACGAUGGGUAGGGGCCCUGAGAGGGGGAUCCCCCACACUGGUACUGAGACACGGACCAGACUCCUACGGGAGGCAGCAGUGAGGAAUAUUGGACAAUGGAGGGGACUCUGAUCCAGCCAUGCCGCGUGCAGGAAGAAUGCCCUAUGGGUAGUAAACUGCUUUUAUACGGGAAGAAAAAGAGCUACGUGUAGCUUACUGACGGUACCGUAAGAAUAAGGACCGGCUAACUCCGUGCCAGCAGCCGCGGUAAUAC